ACCCGGCAGGGGUUGUGGAGGCGGGGUCGUGGGACCGUCCAGCCAGUUCUGCCGGACUGGCGGGGAGUGAGAAAGCGCUGUCGUUAGUGGAAGGCCUCUGGAAGGGGUCGCCGCAGAGGGUGAGAGCCCCGUACACGAAAACGCAGCGCCUCCCGGACGUGUUUCCCAAGUAGCACCGAGCCCGUGGAAUUCGGUGUGAAUCCGGCGGGACCACCCGCUAAGCCUGAAUACUCCCUGGUGACCGAUAGCGGACGAGUACCGUGAGGGAAAGGUGAAAAGUACCCCGGGAGGGGAGUGAAAUAGUACCUGAAACCGUGUGCCUACAAGCCGUGAGAGCCGUGAAGCCGCACCUUCGGUGCGGGCGGUGAUUGCGUGCCUUUUGAAGAAUGAGCCUGCGAGUUAGUGGUACGUGGCGAGGUUAACCCGUGGGGGGUAGCCGUAGCGAAAGCGAGUCCGAACAGGGCGUGCCAGUCGCGUGCUCUAGACCCGAAGCCGAGUGAUCUACCCAUGGCCAGGUUGAAGCGCGGGUAAGACCGCGUGGAGGACCGAACCCACCAGGGUUGAAAACCUGGGGGAUGAGCUGUGGGUAGGGGUGAAAGGCCAAUCAAACUCGGUGAUAGCUGGUUCUCCCCGAAAUGCAUUUAGGUGCAGCGUCGCGUGUUUCUUGCCGGAGGUAGAGCACUGGAUGGCCGAUGGGCCCCACAAGGUUACUGACGUCAACCAAACUCCGAAUGCCGGUAAGUGAGAGCGCGGCAGUGAGACUGCGGGCGAUAAGGUUCGUAGUCGAGAGGGAAACAGCCCAGAUCAUCGGCUAAGGCCCCUAAGCGUGUGCUAAGUGGAAAAGGAUGUGGGAUCGCAGAGACAACCAGGAGGUUGGCUUAGAAGCAGCCAUCCUUGAAAGAGUGCGUAAUAGCUCACUGGUCAAGUGGUUCCGCGCCGACAAUGUAGCGGGGCUCAAGCACACCGCCGAAGCCGUGGCACUCCGCCGUGCGCCCGCCGGUUCUUCCUCGGGAGGCCGGCCAGGUGGCGGGGUGGGUAGGGGAGCGUCGUGUGGCGGGUGAAGCGGCGGAGGGAUCCAGCCGUGGACGCCACGCGAGUGAGAAUGCAGGCAUGAGUAGCGAGAGGGGAGUGAGAACCUCCCCCGCCGGAAGACCAAGGGUUCCUGGGCCAGGCUAAUCCGCCCAGGGUGAGUCGGGACCUAAGGCGAGGCCGACAGGCGUAGUCGAUGGACAACGGGUUGAUAUUCCCGUACCCGCGAAGGAACGCCCAUGCUGAACCCAGUGAUGCUGACCGCCCGAAGCCGGCCGAUCCACUUGUGGAGAGGUCGGGGGAGCGCGGGACCCGAGCUGGUAGUAGGCAAGCGAUGGGGUGACGCAGGAAGGUAGUCCUACCGGUGAGUGGUAGUACCGGUGCAAGGGUGUGGCCCGCGCCAUAGGCAAAUCCGUGGCGCACGAGGGUGAGGCCUGACGCAUAGCCGAUUGCGGUGAAUGGGAUGAUCCUAUGCUGCCGAGAAAAGCCUCUAGCGAGUUCCGAGCGGCCCGUACCCCAAACCAACUCAGGUGGUCAGGUAGAGAAUACCGAGGCGAUCGAGCGAACUGUGGUUAAGGAACUCGGCAAAAUGCCCCCGUAACUUCGGGAGAAGGGGGGCCGUCUGCUGUCAACACCCGCGCGGUGGGCAGCGGUGGGCGGCCGCAGAGACCAGUGAGAAGCGACUGUUUACUAAAAACACAGGUCCGUGCGAAGUCGUAAGACGAGGUAUACGGACUGACGCCUGCCCGGUGCUGGAACGUUAAGGGGACGGGUUAGCUACAUCUGUGGCGAAGCUCAGAACUCAAGCGCCAGUAAACGGCGGUGGUAACUAUAACCAUCCUAAGGUAGCGAAAUUCCUUGUCGGGUAAGUUCCGACCUGCACGAAUGGCGUAACGACUUCUCAGCUGUCUCAACCACAGGCUCGGCGAAAUUGCACUACGAGUAAAGAUGCUCGUUACGCGCGGCAGGACGGAAAGACCCCGGGACCUUCACUACAGCUUGAUAUUGGUGUUCGGUUCGGCUUGUGUAGGAUAGGUGGGAGACUGGGAAGCGGGCACGCCAGUGUUCGUGGAGUCGCCGUUGAAAUACCACUCUGGUCGAAUUGGAUGUCUAACCUCGGUCCGUGAUCCGGAUCAGGAACAGUGUCAGGUGGGUAGUUUAACUGGGGCGGUUGCCUCCCAAAGUGUAACGGAGGCGCCCAAAGGUUCCCUCAGCCUGGUUGGCAAUCAGGUGUCGAGUGCAAGUGCACAAGGGAGCUUGACUGUGAGACCGACGGGUCGAGCAGGAGCGAAAGCUGGGACUAGUGACCCGGCACCGGCAUGUGGAAGCGGUGUCGCUCAACGGAUAAAAGGUACCCCGGGGAUAACAGGCUGAUCUUCCCCAAGAGUCCAUAUCGACGGGAUGGUUUGGCACCUCGAUGUCGGCUCGUCGCAUCCUGGGGCUGGAGUAGGUCCCAAGGGUUGGGCUGUUCGCCCAUUAAAGCGGUACGCGAGCUGGGUUUAGAACGUCGUGAGACAGUUCGGUCCCUAUCCGCCGUGCGCGUAAGAGACUUGCGAAGAGCUGUCCCUAGUACGAGAGGACCGGGACGGACGAACCUCUGGUGUGCCAGUUGUACCGCCAGGUGCACGGCUGGUUGGCUACGUUCGGCAGGGAUAACCGCUGAAAGCAUCUAAGCGGGAAGCUCGCUUCAAGAUGAGGUCUCUCACCGGGUGUAACCGGGUAAGGCCCCCGCCCAGACCAGCGGGUUGAUAGGCCGGAGGUGGAAGCACCGCGAGGUGUGGAGCUGACCGGUACUAACAGGCCGAGGGCUUGACCAC
rnacentral:rRNA from 1 species